rnacentral:tRNA from 1 species
GAAAUGGCUUAGUGGGUAUAGCAUUUGCCUUGCAAGCACGAAGACCUGAGUUCAAAUCCCCAGAUUUCA